rnacentral:rRNA from 1 species
UACGUAGGUGGCGAGCGUUGUCCGGAUUUACUGGGCGUAAAGAGCGCGCAGGCGGCUGGUCAAGUCCGAUGUGAAAGCUCCCGGCUUAACUGGGAAAUUGCAUCGGAAACUGAUCGGCUGGAAGGUGGGAGAGGGUAGCGGAAUUCCCGGUGUAGUGGUGAAAUGCGUAGAUAUCGGGAGGAACACCAGUGGCGAAAGCGACUCACUGGACCGACACUGACGCUGAGGUGCGAAAGCUAGGGUAGCAAACGGG